rnacentral:misc_RNA from 1 species
GAUGAAGAACGCAGCGAAAUGCGAUACGUAAUGUGAAUUGCAGAAUUCAGUGAAUCAUCGAAUCUUUGAACGCAUAUUGCGCUCUUUGGUAUUCCGAAGAGCAUGCUUGUUUGAGUAUCAGUAAACACCUCAAAGCUUUUGGAUUUUUUAAUCGAAAAGCUUUGGACUUGAGCAAUCCCAACACCAAUCUUUUUGAGAUCGGUGGCGGGUUGCUUGAAAUGCAGGUGCAGCUGGACAUUCUCCUGAGCUAAAAGCAUAUUCAUUUAGUCCCGUCAAACGGAUUAUUACUUUUGCUGCAGCUAACAUAAAGUGAGUUUGACCGUAUUGGCUGACUGAUGCAGGAUUUCACAAGGGUCGGCAACGAUUCUUGUUAAACUCGAUCUCAAAUCAAGUAAGACUACCCGCUGAACUUAAGCAUAUCAAUAAGCGGAGGA